rnacentral:rRNA from 1 species
CAGUCGCCGCGGUAAUACGUAGGUCCCGAGCGUUGUCCGGAUUUAUUGGGCGUAAAGCGAGCGCAGGCGGUUAGAUAAGUCUGAAGUUAAAGGCUGUGGCUUAACCAUAGUACGCUUUGGAAACUGUUUAACUUGAGUGCAAGAGGGGAGAGUGGAAUUCCAUGUGUAGCGGUGAAAUGCGUAGAGAUGUGGAGGAACACCAGUGGCGAAGGCGACUCUCUGGUCUGUAACUGACGCUGAGGAGCGAAAGCGUGGGUAGCGAACAGGAUUAGAUACCCCAGUAGUCCCUGUCUCUUAUACA